rnacentral:rRNA from 1 species
UACGUAGGGUGCAAGCGUUGUCCGGAAUUAUUGGGCGUAAAGAGCUCGUAGGCGGUCUGUCGCGUCUGCUGUGAAAACUCAGGGCUUAACCCUGAGCUUGCAGUGGGUACGGGCAGACUAGAGUGCGGUAGGGGAGACUGGAAUUCCUGGUGUAGCGGUGAAAUGCGCAGAUAUCAGGAGGAACACCGGUGGCGAAGGCGGGUCUCUGGGCCGAUACUGACGCUGGAGGAGCGAAAAGCGUGGGGAGCGAACAGG